AUAUAAAUUGGAUGGGGGAAAGCCACAAGGAACAGUUCUGAACUCCAGGUGCAUAUGCAGCUGUUUUUGAAUGAUAAGACCCUAAACCUUUGGAGGCAGCAGGUGCACAGGAAUGAACUAAAUACUAAAGUGUGCCGAUUUCAGGAGGAGCUACAGCUGCUGCAGGAACAGGACUCCUAUGUCGGGGAAGUAGUCCAGGCCAUGGAUAAGAAGAAAGUGUUGGUCAAGGUGCAUCCCAAGAACAAGUUUGUCGUAGAUGUGGACAAAAAUAUCAGCAUCAGUGACGUGACACCCAGUUCCCUGGUGGUUCUAAGAAAUGACAGCUACACUUUGUACAAGAUCCUACCCAACAAGGUGGACUCCUUGGUGUCACUGAUGAUGGUGAAGAAAGCACCAGAUUCGACUUAUAAAUUGAUUGGUAGACUGGAUAGGCAGAUCAAGGAGAUCAAAGAAGUGAUCGACCUGCCUGCUAAGCAUCCCCAGCUCUUCAAAGUACUGGGCAUUGCACAGCCCAAGGGAGUGCUGCUUGGAAGACACUGUUGGCCUGGGCCCUGGCUUAUCAUAGGGACUGUACCUUUAUUCAUAUCUCUGGCUCUGAAUUGGUACAGAAAUUAAUUGGGGAAUUUCUGUGAUGGCAGAGAAAAUCCUCAUCUGUCAUCUUCACGGAUGAAAUCGACUUGAUUGGCACCUCAUAGCUGGAGGGGGUUGCUGGAGGGACCAGUGAAGUGCAGCAGACAAUGCUUCGAGGAUGGCUUUGAGGGUACCAGGAGUAUCACGGUUUAUCACGGCUACUAAUACGAUUGAUAUCCUGUACUCGGCACUGCUUUGCCCAGGGCACAUUGACAGAAAAAUUGAGUUCCCACCCCGCAAUGAGGAGGCCUGACUGCACACUUUCAACUCUUUCAAGAUUCAUUCUCAGAAAUCAACCUGACCCAGGGGAUCAACCUGAGAAAAAUUGCUGAGCUUAUGUCAGGAGCAUCGGGCUGGAGUGAAGGGCAUGUGCACAGAAACCGGCCUGUAUGCUCUGAGUUAACAGUGAGUCCAUGUCACUCAGAAGGACUUUGAGAUAGUACAAAGUCCUGCCUCAUGCCAAAGGACAGUGAGGAAAAACAUGUCCAUCAAGAAACUAUGGAAUUGAGUGGACAUCUUUUGUGUGUAUCCCUACAGUAAAACUCAGUGGAACAAGAAAAAAAAAAAAAAGAAAAAGUUUUGGGAAGGGAUGAUCUGCUAGUGUAUAAUCAACUUUUAAAAUUUAGCUUGUAUUUAGUAACAUUUCAUUAUGUUUUGAAAAAAAGAGUAAAAAAUCUUUUGAAGCA